AGCGAACGCUGGCGGCAGGCCUAACACAUGCAAGUCGAACGAACUCUUCGGAGUUAGUGGCGGACGGGUGAGUAACACGUGGGAACGUGCCUUUUGGUUCGGAAUAACUCAGGGAAACUUGUGCUAAUACCGAAUGUGCCCUUCGGGGGAAAGAUUUAUCGCCAUUAGAGCGGCCCGCGUCUGAUUAGCUAGUUGGUGAGGUAACGGCUCACCAAGGCGACGAUCAGUAGCUGGUCUGAGAGGAUGACCAGCCACACUGGGACUGAGACACGGCCCAGACUCCUACGGGAAGCAGCAGUGGGGAAUCUUGCGCAAUGGGCGAAAGCCUGACGCAGCCAUGCCGCGUGAACGAUGAAGGUCUUAAGAUUGUAAAAUUCUUUCACCGGGGACGAUAAUGACGGUACCCGGAGAAGAAGCCCCGGCUAACUUCGUG
rnacentral:rRNA from 1 species